rnacentral:rRNA from 1 species
UACAGAGGGGGCAAGCGUUGUUCGGAAUUACUGGGCGUAAAGGGCGCGUAGGUGGCCUUCUAAGUCGAACGUGAAAUCCCUGGGCUCAACCCAGGAACUGCGUCCGAUACUGGAAGGCUUGAAUCCGGGAGAGGGAUGCGGAAUUCCAGGUGUAGCGGUGAAAUGCGCAGAUAUCAGGAGGAACACCAAUUGCGAAGGCAGCUCGCUGGGACGUUACUGACGCUGAGACGCGAAAGCGUGGGGAGCAAACAGG